rnacentral:rRNA from 1 species
UACGUAGGGAGCAAGCGUUGUCCGGAAUCAUUGGGCGUAAAGCGCGUGUAGGCGGCCCGAUAAGUCCGCUGUGAAAGUCCAGGGCUCAACCCUGGGAUGCCGGUGGAUACUGUCGGGCUCGAGUCCGGAAGAGGCGAGUGGAAUUCCUGGUGUAGCGGUGAAAUGCGCAGAUAUCAGGAGGAACACCAAUUGCGAAGGCAGCUCGCUGGGACGUGACUGACGCUGAGACGCGAAAGCGUGGGGAGCAAACAGG